UCCAAGUAGGAAGAUAAACCGCAUUGCAGGAAGCGGGAGAGUCCGGAGGAGCGGCGAAGCGCUCCUCUUCCCCAUUGGCUGCGCCCAGGGAGCCGCCUUGCGAUUGGCCAUAAGCGCCGGUGGCGGGGGUCGCGAGAGGCGUUAGGAUCCCUGGCGCCGCCUAAGCCAGCGGCUGCUAGGAGGCUGUGUCCGCAAGCCAGCGGGGCGAGGCACCUGGGGCCUGCGCGUCAGGUCCCGGCCUGGGGCACCGGGGCUGCCAGCGUCGGAGGAGGCCUGAGACCUGGGAGGAAGCUGGAGAAAAGAUGCCCUCUGAAUCUUUGUGUUUGGCUGCCCAGGCUCGCCUUGACACCGAAUGGUUGAAAACAGAUACACAGAUGAUAGUGUCGAACCAAGUGGAACAAAGAAAGAAGAUCUGAAUGACAAAGAGAAAAAAGAUGAAGACGAAACUCCUGCACCUGUAUAUAGGGCCAAGUCAAUUCUGGAGACCUGGGUGUGGGUCAAGCAACCAGAUGUGAAAAGAGAGGUCCAAAGAACUCAAGCAAUUUUCCCUAAACCGUGUCCCUCGCAGAUGGAGAGAGAGGUGACAGAGCCCUCAAGGGGACAGAGCCCAUGCUCAUAACCAGAAGGAGCCCUGGCAUUCCCUGGACGUGAAGCACUAUUUGUCCAUUCGGCAAGAAUUACUCAACCCCUAUCUGCCAACCCAGAGGCCCAGUGAUGAACAGGACCAAUCCAGUUCUUGCCCCCAUGAGGCCUUCAUUUUGAUGGAACAAUCAGGCUCAAGAACCUCUUAAGGAGUUGCUAAGAGGUUCCUGAAUGAGUGGGCCCAAUUAACUGCAGUCAAGUCUGCUGUGCUGAGGCCUGGCAAAUCAGAUGGGAACACUUCCUUGCACUAGCCCAGGAAAUAGACCUGUAGACGCUUCAUAAAGUCGGAACUGACUCCACUAAUGCCUGAGACCUGGGAGGAAGCUGGAGAAAAGAUGCCCUCUGAAUCUUUGUGUUUGGCUGCCCAGGCUCGCCUUGACACCGAAUGGUUGAAAACAGAUACACAGAUGAUAGUGUCGAACCAAGUGGAACAAAGAAAGAAGAUCUGAAUGACAAAGAGAAAAAAGAUGAAGACGAAACUCCUGCACCUGUAUAUAGGGCCAAGUCAAUUCUGGAGACCUGGGUGUGGGUCAAGCAACCAGAUGUGAAAAGAGAGGUCCAAAGAACUCAAGCAAUUUUCCCUAAACCGUGUCCCUCGCAGAUGGAGAGAGAGGUGACAGAGCCCUCAAGGGGACAGAGCCCAUGCUCAUAACCAGAAGGAGCCCUGGCAUUCCCUGGACGUGAAGCACUAUUUGUCCAUUCGGCAAGAAUUACUCAACCCCUAUCUGCCAACCCAGAGGCCCAGUGAUGAACAGGACCAAUCCAGUUCUUGCCCCCAUGAGGCCUUCAUUUUGAUGGAACAAUCAGGCUCAAGAACCUCUUAAGGAGUUGCUAAGAGGUUCCUGAAUGAGUGGGCCCAAUUAACUGCAGUCAAGUCUGCUGUGCUGAGGCCUGGCAAAUCAGGCCUGAGACCUGGGAGGAAGCUGGAGAAAAGAUGCCCUCUGAAUCUUUGUGUUUGGCUGCCCAGGCUCGCCUUGACACCGAAUGGUUGAAAACAGAUACACAGAUGAUAGUGUCGAACCAAGUGGAACAAAGAAAGAAGAUCUGAAUGACAAAGAGAAAAAAGAUGAAGACGAAACUCCUGCACCUGUAUAUAGGGCCAAGUCAAUUCUGGAGACCUGGGUGUGGGUCAGGCAACCAGUCUCGCCCUGUUGUCCAGGCUGGAAUGCAGUGGCAUGAUCUCGGCUCAUUGCAAGCUCCGCCUUCCGGGUUCACGCCAUUCUCCUGCUUCAGCCUCCCGAGUAGCUGGGACUACAGGCGCCCACCACCACCCCUGGCUAAUUUAUUGUAUUUUUUUAGUAGAGACGGGGUUUCACCGUGUUAGCCAGGAUGGUCUCGAUCUCCUGACCUCAUGAUCCACCCGCCUCGGCCUCCCAAAGUGCUGGGAUUACAGGCGUGAGCCACUGCGCCCAGACUUGUGAGGUUUUAAUAUGAAGUAUUAAAGCUAUGCUGGUUAGACAAUUUGAGAAAUGUUUCUUCUCCUAUUUCUGACAGAGUUUAUGUAAGAUGUGUGUUAUUUCUUCCUUAAGCAUUUGGAAAGAAUUCACUUAUUAAGCCAUGUGAGAUUGUAGUUUUCUUUAUAAGGUGUUUAAUUACAGGUUCAAUUACAUAUAUAUGAAUAUUCAUUUUGGUAACCUGUGUUUGCUGAAUCAAUUUGUUCAUUUUAUCUAAAAUUUCAAAGUUGUUCUAUUAUUCAUUUAUCUUUUUAAUACUUAUAAGGUCUGCGGUUAGAGUUUGUGCCUUUUGUCUGUUUUGUUAAUCAAUCUUGCUGGGGGCCAUCAAUUUUAUCAGUGUUUCAAAAAAGCAAACUUUGAUUUUAUUCAUCCCUUUACCAUACUGAAAAUGUUUUGCUUAGUUUCCAAACUUAUACUUCCACUGUGAUUAAAUAUUUGCAUAACUAAAACUCUUUGGAAUUUGUGUCUUCUCAAUAAUCAAAAAUGUGAUUAAUUUUUAUAAAUAUUGCUUCUGCACUUGAAAAGGAUGUGUAUUCUGCAUGUUGAGCGUAGUGUAUCACGUAUCUCAAUUAGACGGAGCAUGUUAAAUGCAUCCUUUAAAGAUUCCAUUUCCUUACUGAUGUUCGUCUGUUUAUUUUUCAGUGGCUGAGACACAGAUAUUAAAGUUUCCCACAAUGAUCGUCAACUUAUUUCUUUUUUUCGUUUGUUAAGCUUUGUUCUGUGUGUUUUAAGGUUAAGUUACCAGGCAUAAACACAUUUAGAAUUCCUUUUUCUCCCUGCUGGUUGCACCCUUUUAUCAUUAGGAAAUACCCUCUUUAUCUCUCACAUAGCUCUUUCAUUAGAGUUUUUUUAAUAUGUAAAAGAAAAUAAAGUCUUGGAACCGCCAAACCUGUUAUGCUAAGGGAGACAUAAGUUUGGGAGCUUAGUCAUGCAAAACUGCCAUUCUUUCUCCCCAAAGAGAUAGCUGCCAUUUCACAACCCUGUGUGAUGGCAUUAGACAUAAGCCAGGUCCCCACUACCACAAAAGGCCACGUACCUCUCCGUAUGGCCCCCCUUACAAACUGUUCACAGGGACAUUCCCUGCUAGCCGCUAAAUCUUUCAGGAUCCAUGUCCCCCUAUAAAAUAAGCAUAUGCCAGUUGUAACCCUGGCUCUGCAACCUCAGUUUAAGACGUAACACUGAGUUCUAUUGAAUCUGACACUGACAAUGUUGAUUACAGGUUUAUCUUCCCAGGUACAGAACAAGAACAUGAGAUCAAGCACUCUUCAGGCUAUCCUGAGAUGGCUGCAUAAUUGACUCUUUCCUCCCUCUUUUCAAACGUUUACCUUAUCUUAUGUAAAAUGAAGAUUUACUGAGCACUAAUUAGAGCUUCCUAAGAAUGUAACCACCCCUUCACUGCCUGCUCCCCCUCCCUUUCUUCUCUCCUGCCUGCCUUCUCCCCUUACAUACUGAGUUCCCAAAAUCCUCUUUGGCAAGCACGGGUCACAGUAGUUUCUGUGGCUUGUGUUUUUUCCGGGGGUGUCAUGAAAUUGUGGCUCCACAAAGCUCUAUUGAUGCAGGCACUUGCCUCAGUCGGUGGCUCAUUUUUUGUUUUUUGUGUGUGUGUUUAACAGCUAUAAAUACAGUUACCCCUGUUUUUAUUUACUUAGUCUUUGCUUUGUCAGUCUUUGUCAAUUUUUCUUUUUUAAAAAUAAAUUUUCUUGUGUAUAGUUAAGGCUUACAACAUGAUGUUAAAGGUUAUAUAUAGAUUGUAAAAAGAUUCCUAUACUGAAAGAAAUUAACACACCAAUCGUUUCACAUAGUUCCCCAUUUCCUUGUUGCUUUUGUGGCAAGAGCGGUUGAAAUCUACUCAUUGAGCAUGAAUUUAACAUACAGAACAAUUUUGUUCCCUGCAGUCCUCAUGCCAUCCAUUACAUCUCUAGACUUGUUCAUCCUUCAUACCUGCUACUUUGUAUCCUUUGGCCUCCAUGUCCCCAAUUCCUCCCCUCUCCUACCUCCCCUGGUAAACAAUGUUUUGCUCUCUAUCUCUGUAGAUUGAUUUAUUUACAUUUUUACAUCCCACAUAUAAAUGGGUUUAUGCAAUAUAUGUUUUUCUGUGUAUGCUUUAUUUCACUUAGCAUGACGUCCUCCAGCCUCAUCCAUCUUGCGGCAAAUGGCAAGACCUUGUUUGUUUUAGGGCUGAAUAAUAUUCCAUUGUGUGUGUGUGCCACAGUCUCUUUAUCCAUUUAUCCAUUGAUGGACACUUAGAUUGUUUCCAUAUCUUGGCUAUUGUGAUUAAGGCUGCAAUGAACAUGAAAAUACAGGUAUCUUUACAAAGUAAUGAUUUCAUUUCCUUUGGGUGCAUGCCCAGAAGAGGGAUUGCUGAGUCAUAUGGUAGUUCUAUUUUUAAUUUCUCUAGAAAUCUUCAUACUCUUUUCCAGAAUGGCUGUAUCAAUCUACAUUCUCAUCCACAGUAUGCAAAAGUUCCCAUUUCUCCGCACUG